rnacentral:rRNA from 1 species
AGGUUGUGCCCUUGACUCUGGAAUAAGCGCUGGAAACGGCGUCUAAUACUGGAUACGACCUUCGGAGGCAUCUCCUGGGGGUGGAAAGAACUUCGGUCAAGGAUCAGCUCACGGCCUAUCAGUUAGUUGGUGAGGUAAUGGCUCACCAAGACGACGACGGGUAGCCGGCCUGAGAGGGUGACCGGCCACACUGGGACUGAGACACGGCCCAGACUCCUACGGGAGGCAGCAGUGGGGAAUAUUGCACAAUGGGCGCAAGCCUGAUGCAGCAACGCCGCGUGAGGGACGAAUGCCUUCGGGUUGUAAACCUCUUUUAGCAGGGAAGAAGCGAGAGUGACGGUACCUGCAGAAAAAGCACCGGCUAACUACGUGCCAGCAGCCGCGGUAAUACGUAGGGUGCAAGCGUUGUCCGGAAUUAUUGGGCGUAAAGAGCUCGUAGGCGGUUUGUCGCGUCUGCUGUGAAAUCCCGAGGCUCAACCUCGGGCUUGCAGUGGGUACGGGCAGACUAGAGUGCGGUAGGGGAGAUUGGAAUUCCUGGUGUAGCGGUGGAAUGCGCAGAUAUCAGGAGGAACACCGAUGGCGAAGGCAGAUCUCUGGGCCGUAACUGACGCUGAGGAGCGAAAGCAUGGGGAGCAAACAGGCUUAGAUACCCUGGUAGUCCAUGCCGUAAACGUUGGGAACUAGAUGUGGGGACCAUUCCACGGUCUCCGUGUCGUAGCUAACGCAUUAAGUUCCCCGCCUGGGGAGUACGGCCGCAAGGCUAAAACUCAAAGGAAUUGACGGGGGCCCGCACAAGCGGCGGAGCAUGCGGAUUAAUUCGAUGCAACGCGAAGAACCUUACCAAGGCUUGACAUAUACGAGAACGCGCUGGAGACAGCGAACUCUUUGGACACUCGUAUACAGGUGGUGCAUGGUUGUCGUCAGCUCGUGUCGUGAGAUGUUGGGUUAAGUCCCGCAACGAGCGCAACCCUCGUCCUAUGUUGCCAGCACGUAAUGGUGGGAACUCAUGGGAUACUGCCGGGGUCAACUCGGAGGAAGGUGGGGAUGAGGUCAAAUCAUCAUGCCCCUUAUGUCUUGGGCUUCACGCAUGCUACAAUGGCCGGUACAAUGGGCUGCGAUACCGCAAGGUGGAGCGAAUCCCAAAAAGCCGGUCUCAGUUCGGAUUGAGGUCUGCAACUCGACCUCAUGAACUAGGAGUCGGUAGUAAUUG